GACGAACGCUGGCGGCGUGCUUAACGCAUGCAAGUCGAACGGAAAGGCCCUGCUUUUGUGGGGUGCUCGAGUGGCGAACGGGUGAGUAACACGUGAGUAACCUGCCCUUGACUUUGGGAUAACUUCAGGAAACUGGGGCUAAUACCGGAUAGGAGCUCCUGCUGCAUGGUGGGGGUUGGAAAGUUUCGGCGGUUGGGGAUGGACUCGCGGCUUAUCAGCUUGUUGGUGGGGUAGUGGCUUACCAAGGCUUUGACGGGUAGCCGGCCUGAGAGGGUGACCGGCCACAUUGGGACUGAGAUACGGCCCAGACUCCUACGGGAGGCAGCAGUGGGGAAUAUUGCACAAUGGGCGGAAGCCUGAUGCAGCAACGCCGCGUGCGGGAUGACGGCCUUCGGGUUGUAAACCGCUUUCGCCUGUGACGAAGCGCGAGUGACGGUAAUGGGUAAAGAAGCACCGGCUAACUACGUG
rnacentral:rRNA from 1 species